GACGAAGGUGGCGAGCGUUGUUCGGAAUCACUGGGCAUAAAGCGCACGUAGGCGGAUCGCUAAGUCAGGGGUGAAAUCCUGGAGCUCAACUCCAGAACUGCCUUUGAUACUGGCAAUCUCGAGUCCGGGAGAGGUGAGUGGAACUGCGAGUGUAGAGGUGAAAUUCGUAGAUAUUCGCAAGAACACCAGUGGCGAAGGCGGCUCACUGGCCGGUACUGACGCUGAGGUGCGAAAGCGUGGGAGCAAACAGG
rnacentral:rRNA from 1 species